rnacentral:rRNA from 1 species
GAAAACGACCGGCAGUAUAGGAUCCUCCCGCGUCUGAUUAGCUGGUUGGCGGGGUAACGGCCCACCAAGGCGACGAUCAGUAGCCGGCUUGAGAGAGCGGACGGCCACAUUGGGACUGAGACACGGCCCAAACUCCUACGGGAGGCAGCAGUGGGGAAUAUUGCACAAUGGGGGAAACCCUGAUGCAGCGACGCCGCGUGAGUGAAGAAGUAUUUCGGUAUGUAAAGCUCUAUCAGCAGGGAAGAAAAAAGACGGUACCUGACUAAGAAGCCCCGGCUAACUACGUGCCAGCAGCCGCGGUAAUACGUAGGGGGCAAGCGUUAUCCGGAAUUACUGGGUGUAAAGGGUGCGUAGGUGGCAUGGUAAGUCAGAAGUGAAAGCCCGGGGCUUAACCCCGGGACUGCUUUUGAAACUGUCAUGCUGGAGUGCAGGAGAGGUAAGCGGAAUUCCUAGUGUAGCGGUGAAAUGCGUAGAUAUUAGGAGGAACACCAGUGGCGAAGGCGGCUUACUGGACUGUCACUGACACUGAUGCACGAAAGCGUGGGGAGCAAACAGGAUUAGAUACCCUGGUAGUCCACGCCGUAAACG